rnacentral:rRNA from 1 species
GACAGAGGGUGCAAACGUUGUUCGGAAUCACUGGGCGUAAAGCGGGUGUAGGCGGCUUGGUAAGUCGGAUGUGAAAUCCCGAGGCUUAACCUCGGAAGUGCAUUCGAAACUACUUGGCUAGAGUCCUGGAGAGGAAGGUGGAAUGCUUGGUGUAGAGGUGAAAUUCGUAGAUAUCAAGCGGAACACCGGUGGCGAAGGCG